rnacentral:misc_RNA from 1 species
GAUGAAGAACGUAGCGAAAUGCGAUACGUAAUGUGAAUUGCAGAUUUCAGUGAAUCAUCGAAUCUUUGAACGCACAUUGCGCCCGCUAGUAUUCUGGCGGGCAUGCCUGUUCGAGCGUCAUUUCAACCAUCAAGCCCUAGGCUUGCGUUGGAGCCCUGCGGCUGCCGCAGGCUCCCAAAUCCAGUGGCGGGCUCGUCGUCGUACCGAGUGCAGUAAACAUCCUCGCUCAGGGAACGUGACGGGUUCUUGCCGUGAAACCCCCCACAUAUCAAGGUUGACCUUGGAUCAGGUAGGAAUACCCGCUGAACUUAAGCAUAUCAAUAAGCGGAGGA